UUCCGCCCGCGGGCUCCCGGCUCCAGUCCUCUCCUGAGCUCCAGGACAACUCGCUGUCUGCAAGCCGGUCGCUUUGGGAGACUUCUCGCUAUCUACCCUUCUGCAGAGACGUGGGCUUUGAAGCCGGCCGUAGUGGCCUCUAGCUUGGAUCAUUAGCUCGACGAGAGCGGAGGCCUUGUCCUGUGAGUUCGCCCCUCUCACUCCCAGACCAGGCCGGGGACACACACAGGAUCAUUUGAUGUGGGAGAAACCGGCCACUAUGUUGUGAGGACACUCAAGCAGUCCUAUGGGGAGGUCUGUCUACAGCCACGUGAGUGAGAAGCAGAUCCUCCAGCGAGCCUUCAGAUAACUGAAGUCCCCGUCAAUAGCUUUACUCCAACCUCAUGAGAGACUCUGAAUGAAAACAUCCCAGCUAAGCCUCUCCUACAUUUCUAACCCACAGAAACUGUGGUAAGUGUUUAUUAUUGGUUUAUGCCACUAAGUUUUUUGUUUUUUGUUUUUUUGUAAUUUGUUAUGCAGCAAGAGAUAACUAAUACAGAUUCUGGUCUGGGGCUAUUACAUACAAUUUUGUUUUGAACAUUCUCUACCUACCUCCUGUUGUUUAAAUAAAAUCAUUUUCCUGGGAGUGUAAUUGAUGGGGCAGAAGUUCGAGUAUCAUUAAUAUUAGUAGAUAUGGCAAAAAUUUCCGAGUAUUUUAUAUUCUGCCCAGCCAUGUGUAAAAGUCCCCUUUAUUCACUUCUGUACCAACUCUUGGUAUGGUCAACUAAAAAAUUUUAGCCAUUUUGAUGUGUGUGUGUGUGGUGGUAUCUCAUUGCCAAUUUUAAUUUGUAUUUCUCAGAUGACUAAUGAUGUUGAACACCCUUUUAUUUGUUUCCAGCUUGUUUUGGUUACAUUUUCAAUAAAGAAAACUUGUCUCUCUGAAACUUAGCAAUUUCUGGUCUCCUUAGCUGCUAGGAAUAGCAAAACUAGCUCUCUUCCCUUGGCUAUGUGCAGAGUAACUGCUUAUUGUGUAUGAGUCUUGUUGUUUCAGUGAUUUGGCCUAACUGCAUGUAUUCUCGGGUUCUUGGGGGAUACUCUGUCACUUAGCUUUUGUUAUAAGAUGUUUUCCAUUAUUUCAUUCUAUUUAUUCCAUUUUAGCAAGAAAAAAUUGGGGAAAAUUCAAAACUGGGCUGCCAUAUUCUAGUCAUUUGGUUUUAAUUUCAGUAAUUAUAAUUUUUAU